GACGAACGCUGGCGGCGUGCUUAACACAUGCAAGUCGAACGAAGAGCGAUGGAAGCUUGCUUCUAUCAAUCUUAGUGGCGAACGGGUGAGUAACGCGUAAUCAACCUGCCCUUCAGAGGGGGACAACAGUUGGAAACGACUGCUAAUACCGCAUACGAUCUAAUCUCGGCAUCGAGGAUAGAUGAAAGGUGGCCUCUACAUGUAAGCUAUCACUGAAGGAGGGGAUUGCGUCUGAUUAGCUAGUUGGAGGGGUAACGGCCCACCAAGGCGAUGAUCGGUAGCCGGUCUGAGAGGAUGAACGGCCACAUUGGGACUGAGACACGGCCCAGACUCCUACGGGAGGCAGCAGUGGGGAAUCUUCCGCAAUGGACGAAAGUCUGACGGAGCAACGCCGCGUGAGUGAUGACGGCCUUCGGGUUGUAAAGCUCUGUUAAUCGGGACGAAAGGCCUUCUUGCGAACAGUUAGAAGGAUUGACGGUACCGGAAUAGAAAGCCACGGCUAACUACGUG
rnacentral:rRNA from 1 species